rnacentral:rRNA from 1 species
CAUUUAGAGGAAGUAGGGAUCAUU